GGCUCAGAGCGAACGUUAGCGGCAGGCUUAACACAUGCAAGUCGAGCGACAAAGGGGCUUCGGCCCUGAGUAGAGCGGCGGACGGGUGCGUAACACGUGGAUAAUCUGCCUCGUGGCGGGGGAUAACAGUCCGAAAGGACUGCUAAUACCGCAUGUCAGGUCGGAAAACCCUGGUUUCUGACGAAAAAGAGGGCGCCCGCAAGGGGCUCUCACCACGAGAUGAGUCCGCGGCCCAUCAGCUAGUUGGCGGUGUAAUAGACCACCAAGGCUAAGACGGGUAGCUGGUCUGAGAGGAUGACCAGCCACACUGGGACUGAGACACGGCCCAGACUCCUACGGGAGGCAGCAGUGGGGAAUAUUGGACAAUGGGCGAAAGCCUGAUCCAGCCAUGCCGCGUGAGUGAUGAAGGUCUUCGGAUCGUAAAGCUCUGUGGGAAGGGACGAAAAAGCCUAACCUAAUACGUUAGGUCUUGACGGUACCUUCUUAGCAAGCACCGGCUAACUCCGUGCCAGCAG
rnacentral:rRNA from 1 species